GACGAACCGUGCAAACGUUGUUCGGAAUCACUGGGCUUAAAGGGCGCGUAGGCGGGCAAGCAAGUCGAAGGUGAAAUCCCACGGCUCAACCGUGGAAGUGCCCCCCGAUACUGCUUGUCUUGAGGGAGAUAGGGGCGUGCGGAACUUCCGGUGGAGCGGUGAAAUGUGUUGAUAUCAUCAGGAACUCCGGUGGCGAAAGCGGCACGCUGGACCUUUACUGACGCUGAUGCGCGAAAGCCAGGGGAGCAAAGCGGG
rnacentral:rRNA from 1 species